rnacentral:rRNA from 1 species
GACGAACCGUACGAACGUUGUUCGGAAUCACUGGGCAUAAAGGGCGCGUAGGCGGCUUUUCAAGUCAGGGGUGAAAUCCGGCAGCUCAACUGUCGAAGUGCCCUUGAUACUGAUGAGCUCGAGGGAGGUAGGGGUGUGUGGAACUUCCGGUGGAGCGGUGAAAUGCGUUGAUAUCGGAAGGAAGCGCCGGUGGCGAAAGCGACGCACUGGACCUCUUCUGACGCUGAGGCGCGAAAGCCAGGGGAGCAAACGGG